CGGGAUUUAGCUCAGUUUGGUAGAGUUCAUCGUUUGGGACGAUGAUGUCGUAGGUUCAAAUCCUACAAUCCCGA
rnacentral:tRNA from 1 species